rnacentral:rRNA from 1 species
CUACGGGGUGCAGCAGUGGGGAAUAUUGCACAAUGGAGGAAACUCUGAUGCAGCAACGCCGCGUGGAGGAUGACACUUUUCGGAGCGUAAACUCCUUUUAUAUAGGAAGAAGAUGACGGUACUAUAUGAAUAAGCGCCGGCUAACUCCGUGCCAGCAGCCGCGGUAAUACGGAGGGCGCAAGCGUUACUCGGAAUCACUGGGCGUAAAGAGCGUGUAGGCGGGUAGUUAAGUUGGAAGUGAAAUCCUAUGGCUCAACCAUAGAACUGCUUCCAAAACUGAUUACCUAGAAUAUGGGAGAGGUAGAUGGAAUUUCUGGUGUAGGGGUAAAAUCCGUAGAGAUCAGAAGGAAUACCGAUUGCGAAGGCGAUCUACUGGAACAUUAUUGACGCUGAGACGCGAAAGCGUGGGGAGCAAACAGGAUUAGAUACCCUCGUAGUC